rnacentral:ncRNA from 1 species
GCCCUGCGGCCGGUUAAAAGGGAAUGCCGUGAGAAUCGGCGACAGUUCCUGCUGCUGUGAAUCUCCGCCCCGCACGGGGCAAUUCCGGACAAUCUUUGCCACUGGCCCCAAGGUCGGGAAGGCGUCGCGGAAGGGAUAAGUCAGAAGACCUGCCCUGCAACAU